rnacentral:rRNA from 1 species
CGCGCCGCAUUAGCUAGUUGGUAAGGUAACGGCUUACCAAGGCAACGAUGCGUAGCCGACCUGAGAGGGUGAUCGGCCACACUGGAACUGAGACACGGUCCAGACUCCUACGGGAGGCAGCAGUAGGGAAUCUUCCGCAAUGGGCGAAAGCCUGACGGAGCAACGCCGCGUGAGUGAUGAAGGUCUUCGGAUCGUAAAACUCUGUUAUUAGGGAAGAACAAAUGUAAAAGAAACUAUGCACGUCUUGACGGUACCUAAUCAGAAAGCCACGGCUAACUACGUGCCAGCAGCCGCGGUAAUACGUAGGUGGCAAGCGUUAUCCGGAAUUAUUGGGCGUAAAGCGCGCGUAGGCGGUUUUUUAAGUCUGAUGUGAAAGCCCACGGCUCAACCGUGGAGGGUCAUUGGAAACUGGAAAACUUGAGUGCAGAAGAGGAAAGUGGAAUUCCAUGUGUAGCGGUGAAAUGCGCAGAGAUAUGGAGGAACACCAGUGGCGAAGGCGACUUUCUGGUCUGUAACUGACGCUGAUGUGCGAAAGCGUG